rnacentral:rRNA from 1 species
CCCUGGAAACGGGGUCUAAUACCGGAUACUGAUCCUCGCGGGCAUCUGCGAGGUUCGAAAGCUCCGGCGGUGCAGGAUGAGCCCGCGGCCUAUCAGCUUGUUGGUGAGGUAAUGGCUCACCAAGGCGACGACGGGUAGCCGGCCUGAGAGGGCGACCGGCCACACUGGGACUGAGACACGGCCCAGACUCCUACGGGAGGCAGCAGUGGGGAAUAUUGCACAAUGGGCGAAAGCCUGAUGCAGCGACGCCGCGUGAGGGAUGACGGCCUUCGGGUUGUAAACCUCUUUCAGCAGGGAAGAAGCGAAAGUGACGGUACCUGCAGAAGAAGCGCCGGCUAACUACGUGCCAGCAGCCGCGGUAAUACGUAGGGCGCAAGCGUUGUCCGGAAUUAUUGGGCGUAAAGAGCUCGUAGGCGGCUUGUCACGUCGGUUGUGAAAGCCCGGGGCUUAACCCCGGGUCUGCAGUCGAUACGGGCAGGCUAGAGUUCGGUAGGGGAGAUCGGAAUUCCUGGUGUAGCGGUGAAAUG